rnacentral:lncRNA from 1 species
AGAGAAGAAGAAAUCAAGACCAGGUAUCUAGAACUUUUCAACUAAGUUCAAGGUAAUUUCGAGGACGAAAUUUUUUUUAAGGGGGGAGGGAUGUAAUACUCCGAAAUUUUAUGCUCGUUUAAAUUUCCUUAGGAUAGCGAUUUAACUUUCAAUACUAUUUUUGGCGAUAAGGUAAAAGGGGACACCACCUUUGUAGUGGUUAAUGUUAGAGGUAGUUAAUGAAUGUAGGCAUGAAGUAUCAAAGGUUGUGUAUGUAUGAAGUGAUUAUUAAUUAGUCGAAACUUAAG